UUACUAUUAUUAUAACUAUUAUGAUUACAACAAUUAUUAUUAUUCUAUUACUAUUAUUACAAUUAUCAUAUGUUAUACUUGAUUAACUUAAGUGCUAACAAAAUCAACCAAAAACAAAAACAAAAACAAAAGCAAAAAACAAUUAACAAAACACGGGCCAAUAAAGCGUAGCAUAGCAAUCCGCAUACCCUAAAUAUAUAUAUGUAUAUUUAUGUAUAUAUAUAUACAUAUAUAUGUAU